rnacentral:rRNA from 1 species
GCUCCUAGUACGAGAGGACCGGAGUGGACGCAUCACUGGUGUUCGGGUUGUCAUGCCAAUGGCACUGCCCGGUAGCUAAAUGCGGAAGAGAUAAGUGCUGAAAGCAUCUAAGCACGAAACUUGCCCCGAGAUGAGUUCUCCCUGACUCCUUGAGAGUCCUGAAGGAACGUUGAAGACGACGACGUUGAUAGGCCGGGUGUGUAAGCGCAGCGAUGCGUUGAGCUAACCGGUACUAAUGAACCGUGAGGCUUAACCUUACAACGCCGAAGCUGUU